CGAACGGUAACGGGAAGAAGCUUGCUUCUUUGCCGACGAGUGGCGGACGGGUGAGUAAUGCUUAGGGAUCUGCCUUCGAGUGGGGGACAACAGUUGGAAACGACUGCUAAUACCGCAUAACGCCUACGGGCCAAAGGGGGCUUCGGCUCUCGCUUGAAGAGGAACCUAAGUGAGAUUAGCUAGUUGGUGAGGUAACGGCUCACCAAGGCGACGAUCUCUAGCUGGUCUGAGAGGAUGAUCAGCCACACUGGAACUGAGACACGGUCCAGACUCCUACGGGAGGCAGCAGUGGGGAAUAUUGCACAAUGGGGGAAACCCUGAUGCAGCCAUGCCGCGUGUGUGAAGAAGGCCUUCGGGUUGUAAAGCACUUUCAGCAGUGAGGAAAGGGUAGGUGUUAAUACCACCUAUCUGUGACGUUAACUGCAGAAGAAGCACCGGCUAACUCCGUGCCAGCAGCCGCGGUAAUACGGAGGGUGCGAGCGUUAAUCGGUAUUACUGGGCGUAAAGCGCAUGCAGGCGGUCUGUUAAGCCUGAUGUGAAAGCCCGGGGCUCAACCCCGGAAUAGCAUUUGGAACUGGCAGACUAGAGUUUUGUAGAGGGGGGUAGAAUUUCAGGUGUAGCGGUGAAAUGCGUAGAGAUC
rnacentral:rRNA from 1 species